GUCGACGUACUUCAUAGGAUCAUUUCUAUAGGUCACGUCCCACUUUGACUCUUCUAAAGAGCCACUGAAUCCAACUUGGUUGAUGAGCGAGAUACCCUUAUGCCCUCAAAGUGAGAAUAGAUUUAGCUUGUCCACGAUCCUUUGCGGUCUGGUCAUCUAUAAUUUGUUUGCCUUUUAUUUAGCGCAGAGCUUUGUGCUCUUGCGUUUUCAAAAGGAGCGAUGAUCUUGACCACUUUCUAAAUGCUCUCUCGGGAGUCUUAGUUAGUGGUGGGCAUAAGUGGCUGUCUGACAAGU
rnacentral:snoRNA from 20 species